rnacentral:rRNA from 1 species
AUUGAACGCUGGCGGCAGGCCUAACACAUGCAAGUCGAACGAGUGGCGGACGGGUGAGUAAUGACUGGGAAACUGCGUGAUGGAGGGGGAUAACUACUGGAAACGGUAGCUAAUAACGCAUACCAUCAGAUGUGCCCAGAUGGGAUUAGCUUGUUGGUGGGGUAACGGCUCACCAAGGCGACGAUCCCUAGCUGGUCUGAGAGGAUGACCAGCCACACUGGAACUGAGACACGGUCCAGCCUCCUACGGGAGGCAGCAGUGGGGAAUAUUGCACAAUGGGCGCAAGCCUGAUGCAGCCCUUCCGCGUGUAUGAAGAAGGCCUUCGGUUUGUAAAGUACUUUCAGCGGGGAGGCGUUACCCGCAGAAUAAGCACCGGCUAACUCCGUGCCAGCAGCCGCGGUAAUUC